rnacentral:rRNA from 1 species
UACGAAGGGGGCUAGCGUUGCUCGGAAUCACUGGGCGUAAAGCGCACGUAGGCGGCUUUUUAAGUCAGGGGUGAAAUCCUGGAGCCCAACUCCAGAACUGCCUUUGAUACUGAGAGGCUUGAGUCCGGGAGAGGUGAGUGGAACUGCGAGUGUAGAGGUGAAAUUCGUAGAUAUUCGCAAGAACACCAGUGGCGAAGGCGGCUCACUGGCCCGGUACUGACGCUGAGGUGCGAAAGCGUGGGGAGCAAACAGG